rnacentral:rRNA from 1 species
GUUUCUCCGGUCUCCUUCCUUUUUUUUUUCUAGGUUGCUUUAAUGUGUUAGGUUCUCGUUUGGAUCCCAAAAGCGGUACUGGUGGCGCGCGGAGCUCGAGGAGGUGGGGAGGAGGUAAGGGUUAGAGAGGAUCCCGCUGCGGCUAUGGGACGGGGCGUAGAGCGUAGGCGCUCUUUCCUCGGCGGAAAGGAAAGGAGAGGCGGGCGAGGGAGAGAAGGUAGGGUCCCAAAGGAGGGGGAAAGGGGAAAGGCGGGAGUUUCGGCGGCGUAGCGUAGCGCAGCGGGUGCGUCGUUCGUUCAUUCGGCGGGCGAUAGCAGCGGUCCAUCCCGCACUCUAAGCCUCCUUCCGCGACCGCUAGCUGGAGGCCCAAUCCCGGAGCCGUCGCCGCCGCCAGCCUAUUACACAUAUGACACGCGGCACGUUGCCACCAGCGCCGCGCAGCGGUGGUACGACGGCACCGAGCAGGAGGGCGAGUAGGAGGAGACCCGCGAGAGGGUCGAGGACGGGCGGCGGAUGGCGAAGCUCCAGUGGAGGGGCGCGGAGCGGACGCAGAGGCAGGAGGAGGAGUGGGAGAAGACCAUGCUCUAAGAGGAGGGCGCGGAGAGGUAGACCGCACGGGCGGCGAGCCGCGCGGAGGCGCUCCUCGCGGCGCGGGUACGCGAGCUCGAAGUCUUCGAGGCGUUCUGGCGGUGUGCGGCAACGGCGUUGACGUUGUUAGGGAUGUCCCUGGUCUUGGGACCGCCGCCGUUCAAGUACACGAGUAUGACACCGGUGCAUAGGUUCGCCGGGCACGAACUGGAACCGGGACGCCCCUUCCAGGGGCGACCCACCGGAACGUCAGUCCUAACCCGGUUACGACAACCACUGGGCCCAAUGACCGAACUGGACGUCACAAGGCGGCUAUUGAGCAUGAGUCCGAAGAGUACCGCCGACAAGAGCACGAAAACGUGGUCAUACCGUACCAAGACCUUCUUUCACAAGUCCAAACCCAGUAGUCACCUGUCGCCACCUAACCCGGCCCUACCGUCUUACAACUGUUUUCGUCCCCUGUUACCUCCGUUCCGACUCCUCUCGUCUCACCUGUUCCGCUUUUCCUUCCGACUCCUCUUCUCCAACCGCUCCAACCUCUCCCUUUACGAUCUCCUCCUCCUUUCCUUCGUCGCUCUUCUCUACCGUUUCGAUCAUCUCCUCGCCUCUUCCGACUCCCUACUCUUUCGUCUCCGACUCCUCGCUAGGUUUCCACGAUGGGGGCAGCCCCUCUUCCUACGAUCCUUCCUUCGUCUUGCCUCCGCCGUCCUCUCCUCCUCCUUCCUUCUGUUCCCUAGUUCGUUCUCGUUAAGUCUGACGCUUCUACAACUCUCUUCUCAUUCGUCUCUUCCACUCUCCUUCGCGCUGAAACUAUCUUCCUUACUCUGUCUGUCCGCCCUACGCCGUUCUCAACCCUGUCUACCUAUGUUCGGGUUAUUGAAACUUAGAUUGUCAGUCCCAUCAUUCUAUCGUGUCUCGUUCUGCUUCAUGAAACCAGCAUACUGACCUCCAAAUAAUAGAAGAAGGUCUCCAAAACCACCACCGAGGAAAAAACCAUCUUCACGAGUCCGGGGACAAGUAGUUCGAUUGUUCCACUGAUUUGGCGAGUAACGACGUUGACUGGUCUCAUAAUUUUCUCUAUGGGUUGGACGUCGGUGUGGUCGUUACCAGUUUAGACGGUGUCGGCCUCUUUGAUCUUUAAGUAACUGAUUAAAAUCAGCUGGACAAUCAGGUUUAUACGUCCGUGUAGGAUGUCCGGAAUUUUUCAGUACCGUAGUCAACAAAUCAGCGAGUCGACGUCAAAGGGGAACAGGGCUACAAUGACGAAGUCGAGCACUCUUCUUGUACGUCGGACGGGGUUUACCACGUGUCUAUUCGUCGCGAGUUUUAAAAGACCGAGUCAUAGGAGGAGACCUGUCGUGCGGCUUCAAUUCGGUUAGGUACGUGAGACGUCCCAAAGGCGGUCACUUACCUCGUAGACGGUUAUACGGCGAUAGAGUAAAAGGUCGCCCUGUGAGCGGGAAGCCAUUUCAAAGUCUUCGUCGUAAUGACCUUCUUGGACUCGUUAAACUCCUGGGCACGAUACUAGGUCUACGGUAACGUAACGAACCAGGUCAAAGUCUCAGGGAUCUGUUGAAGGGAGGUCUGACCCUAUCGUCUAAGUGGAACUUACUACAGUGGUUCGUUGGUGUACAAUCCUUGGGGUACGGAAGUGGUUAACUCAGAGGAGAUAGUUCUAGUGCCUGACAACUUGCUUUAGGAUAAUCUGGGAGUGUAAAGAGUUGACGUUUUCCCGUAUUACCAAGUUACAGUCGACUCCGAUUGUUACUCGUUCCGUGUACCGUUUACACCUCGUGCGGCGACCAUGUCCUGUCAAAUCCAGACGCUCCAGGAGUCCCUGUUACCGAAGAUGGUUUGUGUUUAGUUAAGUUGGUACCGUAGUUAGUAAACUUACCACCUUGUUCUUCGGGGGAGUCACGACCAGACUUACUGUUACUAAAUACCGACGUCUUUAGUGGGAAGGUCGUUAACGGAGAACUAUGUCUAUCAGACAAGGAAAGUGUGCUGUACAGUCUUUUACGAUAUGUGUCACUGAACCCAAAACCUAGAGGUUUGUUUUGUCGGGCACGCGUGGGGAAACCUGGUGGACUAGGAACAGUAAGAACCAGGUUCCUCGUCGACCACGGCUUACCUGGGGUCCCUCGAUCAGGUCAGGCGAACGGCGGUUGACCUCCCGUACGGCCAAAUAAAGGUUGUUUAGGUUUACGUGUUAGUCACACCAGCAAACUAUUCUUUUCCCUGUCGUAUCUUCAAUACCCACUUCGUUCCGAGGGAGGAAGGUCGAAUCCCUCAACUCCUCUGUAUCUUCAGCCUGGCUUGACAUAAGGGAAUACGCUUUUUGCUUUGUAUCGGUAGAAUAAAUCAUUCGUGAGUGGACAAUUGUAACACGCGAAAUACGUAGGCACAAUCCAAAGAGCGGACUGUGCGAACAAACCACGUAAAAAACCACCUAAGUUACGUUACGUUACCAACCCAAU